AAUGCUGGGGUACGAUGCGGAGCGAAAUUUAGUAGCGAAGUAGCUGAUUUCACACUGUCGAGAAAAGUCUCUAUCGAGGUUAAAGGUGCCUGUACCGCAAACCGACACAGGUGGGUGAGGAGAGUAUCCUAAGGCCAGCGAGAGAACUGUUGUUAAGGAACUCGGCAAAAUGACCCCGUAACUUCGGGAGAAGGGGUGCCUUCGAAAGAAGGCCGCAGAGAAUAGGCCCAAGCGACUGUUUACCAAAAACAUAGGUUUCUGCUAAGUCGCAAGACGAUGUAUAGGAGCUGACGCCUGCCCGGUGCUGGAAGGUUAAGGGGAUCUGUUAGAGCAAUCGAAGCAGUGAACUUAAGCCCCAGUAAACGGCGGCCGUAACAAUAACGGUCCUAAGGUAGCGAAAUUCCUUGUCGGGUAAGUUCCGACCCGCACGAAAGGCUUAACGAUUUGGGCACUGUCUCAACAACAGACUCGGUGAAAUUGUAAUACCGGUGAAGAUGCCGGUUACCUGCGACAGGACGGAAAGACCCCAUGGAGCUUUACUGUAGCUUGACAUUGAGUCUCGGUGCUACAUGUACAGGAUAGGUGGGAGACUAUGAAGCAUGGACGUCAGUCUGUGUGGAGUCAUCCUUGGGAUACCACCCUUGUAGUACUGGGAUUCUAACCAGAGGCCAUGAAUCUGGUCUUGGGACACUGUCAGGUGGACAGUUUGACUGGGGCGGUCGCCUCCCAAAAAGUAACGGAGGCGCUCAAAGGUUCUCUCAGUACGGUCGGAAAUCGUACGAAGAGUGUAAAGGCAAAAGAGAGCUUGAUUGCAAGACAUACAGGUCGAGCAAGGACGAAAGUCGGACCUAGUGAUCCGGUGGUUCCGCAUGGAAGGGCCAUCGCUCAACGGAUAAAAGCUACCCUGGGGAUAACAGGCUGAUCUCCCCCAAGAGUCCACAUCGACGGGGAGGUUUGGCACCUCGAUGUCGGCUCAUCACAUCCUGGGGCUGUAGUAGGUCCCAAGGGUUGGGCUGUUCGCCCAUUAAAGUGGUACGCGAGCUGGGUUCAGAACGUCGUGAGACAGUUCGGUCCCUAUCCGUCGCAGGCGUAGGAAAUUUGAGGAGACCUGUCCUUAGUACGAGAGGACCGGGAUGGACGUACCGCUGGUGUACCAGUUGUUCUGCCAAGGGCAUGGCUGGGUAGCUAAGUACGGAAAGGAUAAGCGCUGAAAGCAUCUAAGCGCGAAGCCCACUUCAAGAUAAGAUUUCCCACCGCAAGGUUAAGAUCCCAGGAAGACUACCUGGUUGAUAGGUCAGAGGUGUAAGUGCAGUAAUGUAUUUAGCUUACUGAUACUAAUAGAUCGAGGACUUGACCAA
rnacentral:rRNA from 1 species